rnacentral:rRNA from 1 species
GACGAACCGUACGAACGUUUAUUCGGAAUCACUGGGCUUAAAGGGUGCGUAGGCGGCGCAGAAAGUUGGGUGUGAAAUCCCUCGGCUCAACCGAGGAACUGCGCCCAAAAACUACUGUGCUCGAGGGAGACAGAGGUGAGCGGAACUUAGGGUGGAGCGGUGAAAUGCGUUGAUAUCCUAAGGAACACCGGUGGCGAAAGCGGCUCACUGGGUCUCUUUCUGACGCUGAGGCACGAAAGCUAGGGUAGCGAACGGGG